rnacentral:rRNA from 1 species
CCUACGGGCGGCAGCAGUGGGGAAUCUUGCGCAAUGGGCGCAAGCCUGACGCUGCAACGCCGCGUGAAGGAAGAAAGCUUUCGGGUUGUAAACUUCUUUUCUCAGGGACGAAACAAGUGACGGUACCUGAGGAAUAAGCCACGGCUAACUACGUGCCAGCAGCCGCGGUAAUACGUAGGUGGCAAGCGUUAUCCGGAUUUACUGGGUGUAAAGGGCGUGUAGGCGGGGACGCAAGUCAGAUGUGAAAACCACGGGCUCAACCUGUGGACUGCAUUUGAAACUGGGGUUCUUGAGUACUGGAGAGGCAGACGGAAUUCACAGUGUAGCGGUGAAAUGCGUAGAUAUUAGGAGGAACACCAGUGGCGAAGGCGGGUUGCUGGACAGCAACUGACGCUGAGGCGCGAAAGCGUGGGGAGCAAACAGGAUUAGAUACCCUGGUAGUC